rnacentral:lncRNA from 10 species
CUGCGGUGGUGUUCUCCGUCUUCCCACAGGACUCCCUGCAGCCAGGAAUUCUAGGGGAGCACCUGACGCGAGGUAUACGCCCAGAUGGCCUGAAGUAACUGAAGAAUCACAAAAGAAGUGAAAAUGUCCUGCCCCGCCUUAACUGAUGACAUUCCACCACAAAGGAAGUGUCAAUGGCUGGUCCUUGCCUUAACUGAUGACAUUCCACCGCAAAAGAAGUGAAAAUGGCCGGUCCUUGCCUUAACUGAUGACAUUACACCACAAAAGAAGUGAAAAUGGCCGGUCCUUGCCUUAAGUGAUGGCAUUACCUUGUGAAAGUCCUUUUCCUGGCUCAUUCUGGCUCAAAAUCACCCCCACUGAGCACCUUGUGACCCCCACUCCUGCCCGCCAGGGAACAAUCCCCCUUUGACUGUAAUUUUCCUUUACCUACCCAAAUCUUAUAAAAUGGCCCCACCCCUAUCUCCCUUUGCUGACUCUCUUUUUGGACUCAGCCUGCCUGCAUCCAGGUGAUUAAAAGCUUUUAUUGCUCACA